GCUUCGUAGCUCAGUGGCGAAGCACCUGCUUGGCAUGCAGAAGGCCUCAGGUUCAAUCCUUGGCAUCUGCU